rnacentral:rRNA from 1 species
CAGCAGCCGCGGGAAAACGUAGGGGGCAAGCGUUGUCCGGAAUUAUUGGGCGUAAAGCGCGCGCAGGCGGUUUUUUAAGUCUGGUGUCUAAGUGCGGGGCUCAACCCCGUGACGCACUGGAAACUGGGAGACUUGAGUGCAGAAGAGGAGAGCGGAAUUCCACGUGUAGCGGUGAAAUGCGUUGAGAUCGGAAAGAACACCAACGGCGAAAGCACUCUGCUGGGCCGACACUGACACUGAGAGACGAAAGCUAGGGGAGCAAAUGGGAUUAGAUACCCCGUAGUCUCUGUCUCUUAUACAC